rnacentral:pre_miRNA from 2 species
GCUUUUAUAUUAUUGUAUAGGUUUUUGCUCAUGCACCAUGGUUGUCUGAGCAUGCAGCAUGCUUGUCUGCUCAUACGCCAUGGUUCCUGAGCAGGAGCCUUCAUUAACUACUGCU